GAGUGAACGCUAGGCGAUAGGCUUAACACAUGCAAGUCGAGGGGCAGCAUGGUCUUAGCUUGCUAAGGCUGAUGGCGACCGGCGUAAGGGUGCGUAACGCGUAUGUAACUUGCCUUUGAGAGGGGGAUAACCCGGAGAAAUCCGGCCUAAUACCGCGUAUUCUCAAGUUGCUGCAUGGCAGUUUGAGGAAAGAUUUAUUGCUCAGAGAUAGGCAUGCGUUCCAUUAGGUAGUUGGUGAGGUAACGGCUCACCAAGCCGACGGUCAGUAGCCGGCCUGAGAGGGUGAACGGCCACAUUGGGACUGAGACACGGCCCAG
rnacentral:rRNA from 1 species